GGGAAAUCUUGCGCAAUGGACGAAAGUCUGGCGCAGCAACGCCGCGUGAGUGAUGAAGGUCUUUGGAUCGUAAAGCUCUUUCGGGAGGGAAGAAAUGGUUGUGCGCUAAUACCGCAUAGCCUUGACGGUACCUUCAGAAGAAGCACCGGCUAACUCUGUGCCAGCAGCCGCGGUAAUACAGAGGGUGCAAGCGUUGUUCGGAAUCAUUGGGCGUAAAGCGAGUGUAGGCGGUCGAAAAGGUCGGGUGUGAAAUCCCAGGGCUUAACCCUGGAACUGCAUUCGAAACCGUUCGACUUGAGUACGGGAGAGGGUCGUGGAAUUGUCGGUGUAGAGGUGAAAUUCGUAGAUAUCGGCAAGAACAUCAGUGGCGAAGGCGACGACCUGGUCCGAUACUGACGCUCAGACUCGAAAGCGUGGGGAGCAAAC
rnacentral:rRNA from 1 species